rnacentral:rRNA from 1 species
GAUGAACGCUAGCUACAGGCUUAACACAUGCCAGUCGCGGGGCAGCAUGGGGGUUGCUUGCAACCCCUGAUGGCGACCGGCGCACGGGUGAGUAACGCGUAUCCAACCUGCCCUUCACCACGGGAUAACCCGGCGAAAGUCGGACUAAUACCGUAUGUUGUCCAUUGACGGCAUCCGAUUUGGACGAAAGGCUUGGCGGUGAGAGGAUGGGGAUGCGUCCGAUUAGCUUGACGGCGGGGUAACGGCCCACCGUGGCUACGAUCGGUAGGGGUUCUGAGAGGAAGGUCCCCCACACUGGAACUGAGACACGGUCCAGACUCCUACGGGAGGCAGCAGUGAGGAAUAUUGGUCAAUGGGCGUAAGCCUGAACCAGCCAAGUAGCGUGCAGGAUGACGGCCCUAUGGGUUGUAAACUGCUUUUAUGCGGGGAUAAAGUGGCCCACGUGUGGGCUUUUGCAGGUACCGCAUGAAUAAGGACCGGCUAAUUCCGUG